rnacentral:misc_RNA from 1 species
UCAAUAAGUUACGCGAGUGCGCAGCAUGUAUAUUAUGGUAAAUAGAAAUAUUUAGCACUACUUGAUGACUUGAUGACCGUUCAUCAAUAAAAAAGGCAAUACAUGACAAAAAAAACAGCCAUAAAAGCCGUCGGCCUUUGGUUUGAGCUCGAUAAGGAGACCAAUCACCUACUCACUCUUCAAGCAGAAAAAAACGGCAGAAGUAAGCGAGCUGAAGCUCUUGAAAUCGUCAAGAGCAAUGUUCACAAAAAGAAUAUUAACAGAAUUUAGUGUUCUUUUUUGAAUAAAGAUCCAACUUUUGGAUCUUUUGCUCUUU